rnacentral:rRNA from 1 species
GGGGAAUAUUGGACAAUGGACCGCAAGUCUGAUCCAGCAAUUCUGUGUGCACGAUGACGUUUUUCGGAAUGUAAAGUGCUUUCAGUCGGGAAGAAGUCAGUGACGGUACCGACAGAAGAAGCGACGGCUAAAUACGUGCCAGCAGCCGCGGUAAUACGUAUGUCGCAAGCGUUAUCCGGAUUUAUUGGGCGUAAAGCGCGUCUAGGCGGCAAGGAAAGUCUGAUGUGAAAAUGCGGAGCUCAACUCCGUAUGGCGUUGGAAACUGCCUUACUAGAGUACUGGAGAGGUAGGCGGAACUACAAGUGUAGAGGUGAAAUUCGUAGAUAUUUGUAGGAAUGCCGAUGGGGAAGCCAGCCUACUGGACAGAUACUGACGCUAAAGCGCGAAAGCGUGGGUAGCAAACAGGAUUAGAUACCCUGGUAGUCCACGCUGUAAACGAUGAUUACUAGGUGUUGGGGGUCAAACCUCAGCGCCCAAGCUAACGCGAUAAGUAAUCCGCCUGGGGAGUACGUACGCAAGUAUG